rnacentral:rRNA from 1 species
ACUCCUACGGGAGGCAGCAGUGGGGAAUAUUGCACAAUGGGCGCAAGCCUGAUGCAGCCAUGCCGCGUGUGUGAAGAAGGCCUUCGGGUUGUAAAGCACUUUCAGCAGUGAGGAAGGCGGAGUCGUUAAUAGCGGCCUCGUUUGACGUUAGCUGCAGAAGAAGCACCGGCUAACUCCGUGCCAGCAGCCGCGGUAAUACGGAGGGUGCGAGCGUUAAUCGGAAUUACUGGGCGUAAAGCGCAUGCAGGUGGUUUGUUAAGUCAGAUGUGAAAGCCCGGGGCUCAACCUCGGAAUAGCAUUUGAAACUGGCAGACUAGAGUACUGUAGAGGGGGGUAGAAUUUCAGGUGUAGCGGUGAAAUGCGUAGAGAUCUGAAGGAUACCGGUGGCGAAGGCGGCCCCCUGGACAGAUACUGACACUCAGAUGCGAAAGCGUGGGAGCAAACAGGAUUAGAUACCCGUGGUAGGAUAGCG